rnacentral:rRNA from 1 species
AGGAUGAACGCUAGCGGCGCGCUUAAUGCAUGCACGUCGAGCGAUGAGGCCCUCUUCGGGGGGUACAUCAGCGGCAGACGGGUGAGUAACACGUAGGUGAUCGUACCCAGAGACGGGGAUAACGGGUGGAAAAUCCGCUAAUACCGGAUAGGCUUGUUCGGUCAAAGGGACAAGGAAAGGCUCCGGCGCUCUGGGAGGAGCCUGCGGCCCAUCAAGCUAGUUGGCGGGGUAACGGCCCACCAAGGCAGAGACGGAUAGGGGGUGUGAGAGCAUGGCCCCCAAAAUGGGACUGGAACACGGCCCAUACUCCUACGGGAGGCCAAGCAGCAGGGAAUAUUGCACAAUGGACGGAAGUCUGAUGCAGCGACGCCGCGUUGGAUGAAGAAGGCCCUCGGGUUGUAAAAUCCUUUACAGGGGGAAGAGGAAGGACGGUACCCCUGGAACAAGUGUCCGGCUAACUACGUGCCAGCAGCCGCGGGUAAGACGUAGGACCACAAGCGUUAUCCGGAUUUACUGGGCGUAAAGCGUCUGCAGGCCGGAC